rnacentral:lncRNA from 1 species
AUUUAUUUAAAUGUUAUGCACCUUAAAGCAUCAUUGUGCAAUGUUAAGGUGUAGGAAAACAACUUUAGAAUUCUCCUUAACAUAAACAUUGUGCCUUUUUAUCCUAUUAUUGAACAGUUUCUUGUUAUAUGCUGAACCAAGUAUAGGCAACAUUUGGUGCUUUUUGGUAGCAGAUCAUACCCUGCCAUACCCUGUACGUCGCUGUCACUUAUGCGAUAUUCCACCUAAUUGUGGGUCUGGAAGAUCAUGGUGAGACCUGGCUAUUGCUGGACUCUUGUGUCUGGCAGUAGACCCUCCAAGGAUGCCCAAGGCAUCCAAUCUCCGUAGCACUAUACCACAGGGAUCUUUACUAUGGGAUAUCGUUUUUGUACAGGAAUAAUGUCCAUGCAACCAGAAUUCAGCAAUAGGUUUCUAGAGUCUACCCUGGUUUUUGGAUCACUGUGUAGGCUGUCAGUCAUAGCAUUCCAAUACUUGUCUGCCAAUGUUGAAGAGCUGUAUGCAGUUAUUGUGCUGGUACCCAAUGUCAUCAGCAGCGUGAAGCAGUCCACCAAUAGUGAUUAGUUAGCUCCUGUGUUGCUUGAUUGUCCUGGAAACUAAUCACAGGGAUUACUGUCCGCUAAAGAAAUGUGAUCACUUUCAAUGAGUCUUACAGCAUGUUAGGGUUAGCUAAUUAGCGUUAGGUAGGGUUAAAAUUAAUUAGCUGUGGGGUUAGCAAAGGCUAAGUUUAGUUCGGUUUAGCGAGGGCUAGCAUGGACUAAGGCUACCUUGGGUUACACAUAACAUCAACGUUUAACUCUGGACAGUAUGGUGACUCAGAUAUUGUCACUUCAUCAAAGUGUCUCUGGGAAGCAAGCAAAAAAGCAUGUAUAUAAGUUUCACCAAAACUAGCAAAUAUAUACGUGUUGAGUAUUGCUGUACUCGAGAGAUGCUGGGGAAUCCAAAUCUGAAGUGUUUUUAGUAGUAGAACACACAAACCUGUGGCUUUCACCCUUAAAAUUCAAUAUUUUUGUGAAUGCAGCAGAAAAUGAUAAAAAGUGAAUAGACUAAGAAUGCAACAUAUUAAAUAUGUCAUAUAAUCUUUUGCCAAUGCUAGGAUAUGGUGGGGGGAAAAGUGCAGUUGAGGUCUGCUCUUUUUUUAUUUAAAUUUUUUUUUUUUUUUUUUAACUAUAGUGACAUGGGCCCACGAAUUCAGUCUGAACACUGAAAAUGUCUGACAUUUGACCUUAUAACUUCUCAAAAAUCUGGCAGAUGUCUACAUGAGGUUAUUGCUAUACACAGGGGAAGUAUACUCUUUAAACUAGUGGGCCAUACACAGUCUGUAAAAUUACGUACCCACAAAAAUAAAAGGUGUGAUAAACAUAAAGAACUAAAUGUACUGUAGUUGUUAAUUUUACUGGUCGUUGAUGAUAAAAUGGUUACAUGAAAUAUGUCAAAAUAUUCUUGACUAAAUACCCUGGGAAGGUCUUCUUUCUAUAAAUGUAUACUUUUGUACACCUGUUCUGCAUUCUGUGACUGUUAGUGUAAAGGUAACAGCAGAUCACAUUUUUCAAAGGUUUAGCUGUAAAAAUGAAUUCACUACUUGCAAUAUAUAUAUCUGACAAUGUCCAAAAAUGAUUUAAUUAUUAGACCUAUAAGGAUUUUUAACAAUCAGGACUAAGUGAAUGCAUUCUGAAUUGUUUUUCUUUAGUAGCACUGCUUCUGUAGAAAUUACUAUAAGCAAAACUAUGAAAAAAAUGUUUUUAUUUAAAAAUUUUGUUCCCAUUUUUAUUUUAUUUAUAUUUAAUUUUGUGUUAUGUAUCCAUAUAGGUUAUCAGAUGGGUAUCUCUAAAAAAAAAAACACAAAAAACCCCCCAAAAAACGAGAGAGUGAGAGAGAGUGCACUUUAAAUUAUAUUGCCAUGUACACAAAAAAGUGCCAAAAAGGCUUUGGUCACUAACGGACAAAAUCUCAGAAACAUUUUGGUCUUGGUCUUGGGAUUAAUGACUACUGUUUGUGGUUUUCAGUUACUGUUCAUGAUGAUUUUUAUAUUUAUGUUCAAGGACAUGGUAGAUAUGUCUCCCCCUAUGGUUGCACUCAAAAAAAAUAAUAAAAGGUCACAGGUUUUUGUUUUUUUUAUCAGAUCCUGUUAACCUUUGCAUCCUGUUUGUGAACUACACUCAAUUACACUUAAAUUAAAACACAUCGUAUAGAAAAAAGAGAAUUUGAAUACGUAAGAAUUUGAAUAUGACGAUCCACUUUAAACUGCAAUUUGAUGUAUUUAAUAUUUAUGAAGACAAUCCUUUGUUUGUCAGUAGAUUGUCUCUACACCAAAAUGCAAUGCUUAAAGGGACACUGUAGGCACCCAGACCACUUCAGCUCAUUGAAGUGGUCUGCGUGUUGUGUCCCUUUUGUUAACAUUGUAACUCUAAGUCUGCCCUCUGUGGCUGUCUAACAGACCGCCACUAGAGGGCUUCCGGAAUCCAAAUGGACUUUUGGUCCGUUAUCUAACGUUGGACGUACUUACGGACCUCCAGCGACAGAUUUUCCCCAUAGGAAAGCAUUGAAUAAUACUUUCCUAUGGGGAAGUCUAAUGCCGCGCAUGCGCACAGGUCUUCCCCGCUGGCUGACGUCGACGGGGGAGGAGCGUGGGUUCUGGAUUCAGGUAAGUGGCUGAAGGGGUUUUAGCCCCUUCUACCCUUCGAGAGGGGGGCCCCGAGGGAGGGGGCACUUCAGGAGCCUAUAGUGCCAGGAAAACAGGUUUGUUUUCCUGGCACUAUAGGAUCCCUUUAACACUGUAACCGAUGGUUUCUCCAUCAGUUGUAAUGAGUUGACAACCAGGUUGCAAAAUUUAUACCAAGGCAGCCAAGUUAGAGAAAUUCUAAAGAUCAAAUGAUUUAGAGUUACAUUUUCAUUGCUACUUUGGCUGCAUGAUAACUUAAAGGAACACUAAUGUCACCUAAAUUACUUUAGCUAAAUAAAACAGUUUUAGUGUAUAGAUCAUUCCCCUGCAAUUUCACUGCUCAAUUCACUGUCAUUUAGGAGUUAAAUCACUUUGUUUCUGUUUAUGCAGCCCUUGCCACACCUCCCCUGGCUAUGAUUGACAGAGCCUGCAUGAAAAAAAAACUGGUUUCACUUUCAAACAGAUGUAAUUUACCUUAACUAAUUGUAUCUCAAUCUCUAAAUUGAACUUUAAUCACAUACAGGAGGCUCUUGCAGGGUCUAGCAAGCUAUUAACAUAGCAGGGGAUAAAAUCUUAAUUAAACAGAACUUGCAAUAAAGAAAGCCUAAAUAGGGCUCUCUUUACAGGAAGUGUUUAUGGAAGGCUGUGCAAGUCACAAGCAGGGAGGUGUGACUAGGGUUCAUAAACAAAGGGAUUUAACUCCUAAAUGGCAGAGGAUUGAGCAGUGAGGCUGCAGGGGCAUGUUCUAUACACCAAAACUGCUUCAUUAAGCUAAAGUUGUUCAGGUGACUAUAGUGUCCCUUUAAUGAUGGUUGAGCAUCUUGGCCAUUGUAGUUCACAAACCUUUUUGGAUGCCGAGAGGAUCCGUCACUGCUCUUUUAAUUUGCGCAAUCCCCUGUUCAAUUUUUUUAAAAUGAUGCUCUUAUGCAUUUGCAAUCAUGCGUGUCCUGGCCAUAGUUUUGUUUUGCUUUCCUUUGAAAUGAACAUUAAGAUCUUUCAAAGUUAAUUUACCAACUUUACUGCAUUCAGAGUGGGUGAAACAGGCUUUAAAACUACCAUACUAGCCCACACACAACAGAAAAGCUUGAACGUGCAAACUACACUGAACAAAAUUAUAAACACAACACUUGUUUUUGUCCCCAUUUUUCACGAACUGAACUCAAAGAUCUAAGACUUUUUUUCUAUGUACACAAAAGGCCUAUUUCUCUUAAAUAUUGUUCACAAAUCUGUCUAAAUCUGUGUUAGUGAGCACUUCUCCUUUGCCGAGAUAAGCCAUCCACCUCACAGGCCACUCUAAAAUUUGCAGUUUUAUCACACAGCACAAUGCUACAGAUGUUGCAAGUUUUGAGGGAGCGUGCAAUUGGCAUGCUGACUGCAGGAAACUUAAAUUGACACUAUAACUUCAAAAAUUGGAAAACUAAAAUUGACAUUUUUGUAAGUUGACCCUAUAACUUCUCAAAAAUCAGGUCUGUGUGUGGGUUGUUGCUGCACCAUGGUAAUAUAAGGCAUUUUAAAAACCAGGACUAAUUACUUAUUAUAUAUUUUGACUUUUAUUUAAUUUUUUUGGUUGCACUAGUUAAAUAGAAAUUAUUGUGAGCAAAACUACGGAAAAAAAUCAAUUUCCUUUUUUUUUCUAAUUUUAAAUAUUUUAUUCAUAAGUAAUCUUGCAAUAUGCAUACAUUAACAGUAUCAGAAGAAUAUGAUGCAUAAUAUGCAUGGGUGUGCGUAUUGAGAAAGCAGAAACAUACAGUGACACAAACAGUGCAAAAAAGGCCUCAGUCACAAACGCACAGUUUUUGGAUAAGCGAGGUUAAAGUGUAAGCAUGAAAAAACAUUUUUUCUUUUAGUUCUUAUUUCUUGCUAUAUUUGUCUAUUUGCCUUUGUAGAUAUUCAUCUUAAAAAUAACACAGACAUGGGUGUUUUCAUUAUAUUUAUAUCUUGUUUUUACUCUUUGUGGGGUUUCUUUUAGAUUUGUGAAUACAAACAAUACCAUGAGAGAGAAAAUGACUGUUCACCGUCCAAGUUCUAAAUAGUGGAGGCAAAGACAAUAAUUCCGCCAUACAUAGCAACACAAAUGCCUACACUCUAUUAAACAUAUUAAAAAAAAAAUGUAAGGUUUUAUUUUAGCUAAAGCACACAAACUAGUCCGUUACAGUCAACAUGACCAUGAAUGGGGAACUUUAGAUACAGAGAUACAAUUUUGAAUGCAAAGUAAGACAUACUAUUCAAAUGUCUGAAAUUUAAACUUAACACGAGACUAGCUUUUUAGUGAAUGAACACAACUUUUUAUUUAUAUUGUCUUAACAUAUGUUACCUGCUCCUCUGUCAUAUGCAGUCUUUUUUUUAUUAUUAUUGUUUUUUUAUUUUGAUUUAUUUACUCCGUUGUCAAAAUGUUUCUGGUAAAUAUAAUAGUGGAAUUGGUAGAUAUUUCACCUACUCCAGUCACUUGCUGAUGCUCAGAUUUGUGCUUUACUUUUUUACAUGAGGUUUACAAAGUAUUGAAAGUGAUACAUUAUGUGUUUUAAAUGGUUACUCUAAGCAUCAGAACUACUAUAGCCUGCCGCAGCCCGAUUGCCUGGUAAAUGGUUUAGUAAUAGUUUGCCUCUCUUUCCUGGGUCCCCACAAGGCUCUUAUGUUCCCUGGUAGUCCAAUGACAUGAUGGUUGGUUGCAAAGUGUCUGCUGACUGCUCUCAGCCAAUGACUGUCAUUCUGUGCAACUAAAGUUGCACAGAAUUGACAUUAGCCAGCGUGGUACUCUAGUUCUGGGUUGGCUGAUGAUACCUCUAUGACGUUACCAGAGGUGGAGUUACACCUACAGCAGCAGAGGAGUUAAUCUCUAUAUGUGCAGGGUUUCAUAUUGAAAAGCUGUACGUCCAGAAUCCAGGCACCAUGACCACUUCAAAUCAAUGGAGUGGUCAUGGUGCUUGGAGUAACCCUGUUGCUAUAUAUUAUGGGGUCUAAAAAUAACAAACGCUUGAAGGAGAUUCAGAGACCUGGCAAGGAUUUUCAGGUGGAAAGUUAUUUUGGAAUGUUUCAUCUGUAGACGUUAUAACACCGACAAUGUUAGGUGUCUGUUCAUAUGUGAAUCUCCUUCCUCAUUGUCUGUAGUUCAAUGUUUGCCUUUUAAUAUUAUGAAAUAGAUUUCUCGGUAACAAUCACAUUAAUUUUGAAUAAACCCAUUUGCCUUGCCCUCUUUGAGCAGAUGAUACAGUUUGCAACCCAUUCUGGUAUCAGCUUUUACCUUACUCACCGAACCAAACUGCUUAAUUGUACAUUUAAGAUGUUAUGUAAGUGGGAGCUAAUGCAUUCAUACCUUCAAACAGUUUAUUCCAACACAUUGUUUCAAACCUUGGUCUGCUAAGUUCUUCAGAGAAUAAUAAAAAAAAAACGCACAAGUGCAUCGCCUACAUAAGUGCGCCUGCUUUUGAUGUCCUUAUUAACAGUGAAGCUCUGAACUUUACUGGUACGUUAUUUUAGUACAUAUUAAAGUUGAUUGACCUGCAAUAGUCUGGCUUGACAAAAAUUUCCAAAAUUUGCUAAAAUGUCAGAAACCACAAUUUUUUUUUUUAAAGAUGUCAGUUUCUGGAAUUUUAAAACUACUUUUUGAAAUAUUCCUGGACAAGGUCUACCUUUAAUAUUUUUGUGCAUUUAAAAAAUAAUAUAUAUAUAUUAUGUUUAGAGUUUUGCUAUUACCAAAUAUGCACAUUCCUGAUGGAUAUAAAGUCAUACUUGCAAUGUAUAUAUGCUGUGUAUUUCUCUCUUGAUGCAUCUAUCAAUAUAAUGUCUCAUUUUUAUUAUUGGAAUUUUGCACAGAUUGUAUUUUUAAUUGUUCCAGUGGUUGUAUAAUGGGUAUUACUGUUUUUACAUGUUCGAUGUUAUAUUAUGCUUAUUUAAAGAAGACAUUAUUGUACUCUUUUUUUCUUCCUAUGUUUUUUUUUUCAUUGUUGGAAGUUAGUGCCUAUGCAUAUAUAGCACUUACAAGUUUAUUAAUUUCUGCAUUAAAACCUGAAAAAUUGUAUUCACAUCUGUUGAUGACUCAGUGCUGUUUUUAGUACAUUUGAAAGCCACAUAUAACUAUAAUUCCAAUGAUGCCUCUAGUUGUAGCACAUCUUUUAACUGGCAGUAUGCAUGGGUAAUUAUUAAAAGGGGAACUUGGAAGUGACCCCAUUUUUUAAUGUAUGAUAUUGAUAAUUAAUAAAAGAUUUGCAAAAAAAUGUAAAACACUUAAAAUAAAACGUACUUUUAAGGUUUCUGAAUUUUGUGCUAUCCCCUAGAUAUUAUAGCAAUCAACCUUUAGAUCUAACUUUCCCAGGAAGCUAACCGUUCUGCCCACGUAGUCUUGACGGUUGGACAAAUUUAACCCAUCGCUACAAGUGUAGAAGUGCAGACUAGAUACUAGUCAUGACCAACCAGGGCACUGAGGGAGGCAUCACAAGUGAUGUCCAGAUGUCCAUUCCAUCACCAGUAGAUUUCAAAAGCACUUUGCCAGUCUGUGGUUUGAAGUUUCUACUUAUGAAGGCUGUCAACUGAACUACAUCUCCCAGAAGCAUUUACUGUUCAUGCAAAUAUUUUACAGAAAGGCUGCUAAUUAUUCAGGGCUAAUUUUUAGGUCAAAAGUUUUAAAUUGCAUAAACAUUGUUUUGGUACAUGGAGUGUCGCUACACAAUUAUACCCAUAAUAUUUGUUGUACU